rnacentral:rRNA from 1 species
GACGAACGCUGGCGGCGUGCUUAACACAUGCAAGUCGAACGAAGUGGCGAACGGGUGAGUAACGCGUAAUCAACCUGCCCUUCAGAGGGGGACAACAGUUGGCAACGACUGCUAAUACCGCAUACAGAAGGAGGGGCUUGCGUCUGAUUAGCUAGUUGGAGGGGUAACGGCCCACCAAGGCGAUGAUCAGUAGCCGGUCUGAGAGUAUGGACGGCCACAAUGGGACUGAGACACGGCCCAGACUCCUACGGGAGGCAGCAGUUGGGAAUCUUGCGCAAUGGACGAAAGUCUGACGGAGCAACGCCGCGUUGGUGAUGACGGCCUUCGGGUUGUAAAGCUCUGUUAAGCGGGACGCGGUACCGGAAUAGAAAGCCACGGCUAACUACGUGCCAGCAGCCGCGGUAAUUC